rnacentral:rRNA from 1 species
UGAGUACGAGCUGCUACGGCAGCGAAGUGGGUGACGUCAAGCUUCCAAGAAAAGCCCUACACCCGUUAAGGCAUGAUGGCCUGUACCCGAAACCGACACAGGUGGGGUGAUAGAGAAUACCGAGGGGCGCGAGGUAACUCUCUCUAAGGAACUCGGCAAAAUGGCCCCGUAACUUCGGGAGAAGGGGUGCCACCGCAAGGUGGUCGCAGUGAAGAGGCCCAGGCGACUGUUUACCAAAAACACAGGUCUCCGCUAAGUCGCAAGACGAUGUAUGGGGGCUGACGCCUGCCCAGUGCCGGAAGGUUAAGGAAGCUGGUCAGCGCAAGCGAAGCUGGCGACUGAAGCCCCGGUGAACGGCGGCCGUAACUAUAACGGUCCUAAGGUAGCGAAAUUCCUUGUCGGGUAAGUUCCGACCCGCACGAAAGGCGUAACGAUCUGGGCGCUGUCUCGGAGAGAGGCUCGGCGAAAUAGAAUUGUCUGUGAAGAUGCGGACUACGUGCACCCGGACAGAAAGACCCUAUGAAGCUUUACUGUAGCUUGGUAUUGUGCCCGGGCUCUGAAUGCGCAGGAUAGGUGGGAGGCUUUGAUCCAUUGCUUGUGGGUGAUGGUGAGCCAACGGUGAGAUACCACUCUUUCAGAGCUAGGGUUCUAACGGUCACCCGUUAUCCGGGGACCGGACAGUAUCAGGUGGGCAGUUUUGACUGGGGCGGUCGCCUCCUAAAAGGUAACGGAGGCGCGCAAAGGUUCCCUCAGGCUGGUUGGAAAUCAGCCGAUGAGUGUAAAGGCAGAAGGGAGCUUGACUGUGAGACCUACAAGUCGAACAGGGACGAAAGUCGGCCUUAGUGAUCCGACGGUUCUGAGUGGAAGGGCCGUCGCUCAACGGAUAAAAGUUACUCUAAGGAUAACAGGCUGAUCUCCCCCAAGAGUUCACAUCGACGGGGAGGUUUGGCACCUCGAUGUCGGCUCAUCGCAACCUGGGGCUGAAGUCGGUCCCAAGGGUUGGGCUGUUCGCCCAUUAAAGCGGUACGCGAGCUGGGUUCAGAACGUCGUGAGACAGUUCGGUCCAUAUCCGGUGCAUGCGCAGGAAUAUUGAGAGGAUUUCUCCCUAGUACGAGAGGACCGGGAGGAACGCACCUCUGGUGUACCAGUUAUCGUGCCAACGGUAAACGCUGGGUAGCCAUGUGCGGAGUGGAUAACCGCUGAAAGCAUCUAAGUGGGAAGCCCACCUCAAGAUGAGUAUUCCCAUGGCGUUAGCCAGUAAGGUCACGGGCAGAACACCCGUUGAUAGGCUCUACGUGGAAGCCGGGUAACCGGUGAAGCGGAGGAGUACUAAUAGACCGAGGGCUUGACC